rnacentral:rRNA from 1 species
UACAGAGGUCUCAAGCGUUGUUCGGAUUCAUUGGGCGUAAAGGGUGUGUAGGUGGCGCGCUAAGUCAGGUGUGAAAUUUCGGAGCUUAACUCCGAAACUGCAUUUGAUACUGGCGUGCUUGAGGACUGGAGAGGAGACUGGAAUUCAUGGUGUAGCAGUGAAAUGCGUAGAGAUCAUGAGGAAGACCAGUGGCGAAGGCGGCGAUCUGGGAAGAUACUGACGCUGAGGUGCGAAAGCGUGGGGAGCAAACAGG